UUUUAAGUCAAAAACAAGUCAUCAUUGAAUCAUCACAAAAUGCUUUCAUCCAACACUUUUGACUACACUAAACAUCCUUUUUAUACAGGACCCUGUGACCUUUAUGACAUGGUUGUGUGUUGAUCCUCCUGUCCACAAGUGCAAUCAGCUGUGCCUCUGUGAGCCACAAGCCCUAAGGCUAGAAUUUCCCUCUGGGGAAAACUUGAGCCUUCACUCUGCUCAACCACAGGAACAAUGAGUUUGCUGAUCUCUGCCAGAAGCUCAGGAGGGCACUGUUCCUGCUCACUGUGCCAAGACGCAGAAACCCUGUCUGGACAUCAGCAAAGAGGAAGGCUGACAGUAAUCUUUGAAGUUUCCAGGAAGAAGAUGGGGCCCCACAGCAACAAAUCCACCUAGAUGAGAUGACAUCAUGACUCAGACAGCGCUACUAUAAGACCGCUUUUUUGGGUACCAGCUGCUGAAAUGGCGCACUUUCUCAUGACGUUCUGGCCAUAACUCCAAAUAAGAACUUUGGAGAAAAUCCUAUCAACUGCUUGGAAAUUGUUUGCAACUAUACCAGACAGUAAUUUUGAAACGUAACCAUCACUUUACUUUUGCAGGAUCCCAUCCUGCAAACAUGCCGCCAUGACAGCGGGAAGCAAUUCUAGAGGACAAUGUCACCUAUCCCAAAAAAGUUUGUCCUUAGGGUUGGGAACAGUGUUUAGGGGUUGUUUAUUAUUAUUUGUACUAAAUAGAGGGUUGGGGUGAAAACUGUUUGUACAAAAAAAAAAAAAGGAAUAAUAAUAGUGGGUAAUAGAGUGAAUAUUUGUGAGCUAUUAUUCAUGGAUAAUUUACAUUGGUAUAGUUUUUGUAUACUGAUACAAGUUCAAAUUAUAUUUGUUAUUUUUGUUUACAUUAUUUGUAUACCUAUGCAAAGUUAUUCUGUCAGAUUGCAUAUAUGCAUGUUUCUACUUCUGUUUAGGACAUUUUGUAUAUUGAUACAACUUUUAGAAUAUAUUUUCAUAUUGCAUUAUAUAUUACUCCUACCUCUGAUCAAGAUAUUCAUACAUUAUUUACAUUUUGAGGUCAUUUCCUUAUUUGUUGCACAUUUUUAACAGAUUAUUUAAUAUUCUGACAUGAAGUUUUAGUCUUUACGUUAUACAUGUAUUAAAUAUUAUAGGUCAAUAGUUGCUCAUGUUUGUUGUACAUACAGUCAGAUCAAUUAGGUUCUUUGAUGGAGGAAGGUCAUCGGUUAAUUAUAAUAAAGAAACUGCUUGGCCCUCAUAGGUUAAAACAUAGGUGGGAGGAGUAAACAAAACAGAAUGCUGGGAGAAGAGGAAGUGAGCUCAGAUGCUAUGCUUCCCCUCUCUGGGCCAGACGCAAUGAAGCAAGCUGCCAGGUCAGACAUGCUGAAUCUUUCCCGGUAAGCGCACCUAGUGGUGCUUCAUAGAAUAUUAGAAAUGGGUUAGGUCAAUAUGUAAACAGUGUUUAAAAGAAUACAGUGUCCGUGUAAUUAUUUCUGGGCAUAAGCUAGCAGGCGGCCGGAAGUGGAGGUGGCAGGAAUGCAACCCACAGCUCCUACAACAGUUCUUUAGAUACACAGAGAUUAUAUUCUGUCUAGAUAGGUAAUCUUCAAACACUAUAAGGAUCUGUAGAACAUGGCAUUUAAAUAACUUAGGGUUCUGUUGACAUGACACUUGAUUCUAUUCCUGAGAGAAUGUUGAGCACCAAAGACACUCCACUUGGAGUUUGUUUUCUUCUUGGCACAAUUGGGCAAGCAACUGCCCAUACCUCAACCACUGACAAGUACAUGGCAUCCAGAAAUGAAUAAGCAGCACACAAGGAAAAAGACUGUUAAAUCCUGCCAAGACAGGGUAAGAUGGUUCUGAAAAGUUUCCUGCCUCUGAAAAUGGUCUGUCAGUUAUGCUAGGCCAUAGCCAAAGUUGGUUGCUUCAACAUUACAAAAUGAGACUUUGGGUGAUUGCUCAGGUAACUAAUUGUCUCCAAAAUAUAUUGCUCACUUUGGAAGCUGCUUGAUUGUACCUCCUGCCUGCUCAAGUAAUAUUAUCUCCCUUCUCAGGCCUUCAAUGGGGUUGAAGAUUAGAUAGUCGUAGUUACUGUACUCUAAUGAUCUAGCCAAGCCAUUUCCUAUACAAGACUUAGACUCCAUAGGACAGAAUGUUUAUUAAAACAUUUAGCAUGUGUUCCUUGCUCUUUAUUGUUUAUGCUGAUUGUAAUUCUAAUUAUACUUGAUAUCUGUUCCUAGUGUAUAUAGUUUUGUAUUGGGUUUGGAACUCUCUUAUUUAAACAAAAGGGGGAGGUGCUAUGGGAGCACAUUCUGCUCCUUCAGCCAAUAGCUUUUGAGAUACCAGCCCACUUGGGUGUGCUCUCUUAUACUGUAAAAGCAGCUGUAAAUAUGCACCCACUAUCUUUGUUCCGGCUCCCACUUCUGGCUGCUAGAAUCUGUUCCUGUGUGCACAGAGAACUGUGAUCUAGAACAGUCAUCUGUAAGUUUUUCCCUUAAAUAAAUAACACUUUAUUAUUCAUAA